CGCGUGUGAGUCACUUCCAGGGUCAGACCCUGGUCUUUAUCCCCUGUUCCGCACUCUCCGAGGAACUGACGAAACAGGUCUUUGCUAAGUGACUCCAGAGCUGGUGUGGAAGGCGGCGGCUGCCAUCCUCCUCUCCAACCACCCGACUUCUCUCCUGUAGUCACCACGGGAAGAAAGGAAAGUGGCAGAAGAGCGCUAUCCUUCUCGAGCGCGCUCCACCACAGCUUCUAAACCUUCAGAGGGCCCAAAGCUCCCGCGCGUGACGGCGGCACGUGUAUUUCAGGGAGCUAUAAUGGUUGGCGUUCGGCGGCGACAGCGACCCGCAACUGGUAUGCGCAGGAGCCCGCGCCCUUUUAUCGGCGCCUUUGGUUUGGCAGUAGAAGUCUGACCACCGGGGAAGAGCUGCUGACCGACACAUAAAGAGAGCAGCGUUUCUCAAUAAAGAGCGAUGCGCCUAA